AUUCCACGUCCGACCAAUCAAAGUUCAACGCUGGACCUUUGCUCAUUUACAUAACAAUGGAAGGGGUGUGGCUUUUACGUUGAAGAUCACUUGUUGCAAGAGUUAAACGACUAGAAGUAGACGAAAUUGAGCCUCAGACACAGGUGUGAGUGCCUGUGAGUUUGCAGGUGCUUUGUGAACCAUGCGAGUAGCCUGUGUUCGUGACUGACAGUUACACCUUUAUGCCAGUCAAACCACAAAUUGUGACGCACCAUUCUUUUAUAACCGUAUCCAGAAAACCUUUUUGAACAAACAGAAAGAAGACUUCUUAAUGGAGGCUGUCCAAUGCUUUCUUCCAUCCUCUUCCUUUCCCUUUGUCCUAUUUGUGUUGUGGUUUGUGGCAGCACCAAGACAGCUCAACAGCUUAAGAGAAAUUCACAAAAAUUGUGCCUUGCAAACAAACACGCACAGAUCUCACACUAGCCUAGGUUUGCAUACACAUGUGCUGUGUAUGACUAUUUUAUCUCUUUUUAAAACCCGUGUUUUCAUAAGUUUGAAUAUGUAAGUCCAAAACAAGUUACAACACAGUUGUUUUUCCAAAGUGCACAAAAGAUAGGCUAACCACCCAUUCAACUGGGCUCUAAGCUGCUCAAACACAGCCAUCUGAAUGAGCCUGUACAAAAUCAACAUGAAUUCUCCGACUGAACAAAAUAAAUACUGUGUCUAGA